rnacentral:rRNA from 1 species
GACGAACCGUGCGAACGUUAUUCGGAAUCACUGGGCUUAAAGCGCGUGUAGGCGGGGGGGCACGUCCGUCGCUGAAAUCCCCCGGCUCAACCGGGGAACGGGCACGGAUACGACCUUCCUGGAGGGGCGUAGGGGGACCUGGAACUUCCGGUGGAGCGGUGAAAUGCGUUGAGAUCGGAAGGAACGCCCGUGGCGAAAGCGAGGUCCUGGACGCCUACUGACGCUGAGACGCGAAAGCCAGGGGAGCGAACGGG